rnacentral:rRNA from 1 species
GAUGCUAAUACCGGAUAACAACACUAGACGCAUGUCUAGAGUUUGAAAGAUGGUUCUGCUAUCACUCUUGGAUGGACCUGCGGUGCAUUAGCUAGUUGGUAAGGUAACGGCUUACCAAGGCAAUGAUGCAUAGCCGAGUUGAGAGACUGAUCGGCCACAUUGGGACUGAGACACGGCCCAAACUCCUACGGGAGGCAGCAGUAGGGAAUCUUCCACAAUGGACGAAAGUCUGAUGGAGCAACGCCGCGUGAGUGAAGAAGGGUUUCGGCUCGUAAAGCUCUGUUGGUAGUGAAGAAAGAUAGAGGUAGUAACUGGCCUUUAUUUGACGGUAAUUACUUAGAAAGUCACGGCUAACUACGUGCCAGCAGCCGCGGUAAUACGUAGGUGGCAAGCGUUGUCCGGAUUUAUUGGGCGUAAAGCGAGUGCAGGCGGUUCAAUAAGUCUGAUGUGAAAGCCUUCGGCUCAACCGGAGAAUUGCAUCAGAAACUGUUGAACUUGAGUGCAGAAGAGGAGAGUGGAACUCCAUGUGUAGCGGUGGAAUGCGUAGAUAUAUGGAAGAACACCAGUGGCGAAGGCGGCUCUCUGGUCUGCAACUGACGCUGAGGCUCGAAAGCAUGGGUAGCGAACAGGAUUAGAUACCCUGGUAGUCCAUGCCGUAAACGA